AGAGUUUGAUCCUGGCUCAGGACGAACGCUGGCGGCGUGCUUAACACAUGCAAGUCGAGCGAGAAAUUAGAGUUUCAAGGCUUCGGCCAAGAAACUUUAGUGGAAAGCGGCAAACGGGUGAGUAAUACGUAGGUAAUAUGCCUGUCAGAAAAGGAUAACACCGGGAAACCGGUGCUAAUACUUUAUAUAAUUAUCCGGACGAUGUCUGGAUAAUGAAAUGGGCUUCGGUCUGCUGACAGAUUAGCCUGCGUCCCAUUAGCUUGUUGGUGGGGUAAAGGCCCACCAAGGCUGGGAUGGGUAGCCGACCUGAAAGGGUGAUCGGCCACACUGGGACUGAGACACGGCCCAGACUCCUACGGGAGGCAGCAGUGGGGAAUCUUGCGCAAUGGGCGAAAGCCUGACGCAGCAACGCCGCGUGAAGGACGAAGUCUCUAGGGAUGUAAACUUCUUUUAGGAGGGAAGAAAUGCCUGCUUAAGCAGGAGCUGACGGUACCUCCAGAAAAAGCACCGGCUAACUCCGUGCCAGCAGCCGCGGUAAUACGGAGGGUGCAAGCGUUGUCCGGAAUCACUAGGCGUAAAGCGUACGUAGGCGUUUCUGUAAGUCGGUUGUUAAAGACCCCUGCUCAACGGGGGAAGGUCAAUCGAAACUACAGAAAUUGAGAACAGUCGGGGAGAGCGGAAUUCCUGGAGGAGCGGUGAAAUGCGUAGAUUUCAGGAAGAACGCCAAUGGUGAAGACAGCUCUCUAGGCUGUUUCUGACGCUCAGGUACGAAAGCCAGGGUAGCGAAUGGGAUUAGAUACCCCAGUAGUCCUGGCCGUAAACGAUGGACACUAGGUGUUGAGCAGUAGCUCAGUGCCGCAGCAAACGCGUUAAGUGUCCCGCCUGGGGAGUACGACCGCAAGGUUGAAACUCAAAGGAAUUGACGGGGGCCCGCACAAGCGGUGGAGCAUGUGGUUUAAUUCGAUCCUAAGCGAAGAACCUUACCUGGGCUUGACAUGCUAAUUGGUACUCCGGCCGAAAGGUUGGGGGACCCUUUUAACCAAGGGAGAUUAGUACAGGUGCUGCAUGGCUGUCGUCAGCUCGUGUCGUGAGAUGUUGGGUUAAGUCCCGCAACGAGCGCAACCCUUACCCUUAGUUGCCAGCGGAUAAUGCCGGGGACUCUAGGGGGACUGCCCAGAACAACUGGGAGGAAGGUGGGGACGACGUCAAGUCAUCAUGGCCCUUAUGCCCAGGGCUACACACGUGCUACAAUGGUCGGUACAGAGGGCAGCGACAUCGCGAGGUGAAGCAAAUCCCAAAAAAACCGGCCCCAGUUCGGAUUGUAGGCUGAAACUCGCCUACAUGAAGUUGGAAUCGCUAGUAAUCGCAGGUCAGCAAUACUGCGGUGAAUACGUUCCCGGGCCUUGUACACACCGCCCGUCACACCACGAAAGUUAGUUGUACCAGAAGUCGUUGGGCUAAUCCUCUUCGGAGGAAGGCAGGCGCCGAAGGUAUGGCUAGUAAUUGGGGUGAAGUCGUAACAAGGUA
rnacentral:rRNA from 1 species